CAAUGAGUGUCUGGUCAUCAUGGAUUAGAGGUCAGGUUUUGCGUCACGAAAGAUGGAAGCAAGAGCUUUUGUGCGCUGUUAACAUAUGGAUUUCGUGCAUAGUGAGUGUAUUUUCGGUGAUUUUACCAAAAGAAUGGUUUUGGAAGGUGAUGCAUGAUAAAAAUCCAUAUUAUCUGGUCAAUAGUUCAACUAUGUUUUCUAGAGUUUUCGAGUCGUUUGCCUAGCACCAAAGAAACCUCACGAUUCUAGUACAUGUUAAUCCCCACCCACACAGAAUAUUUCUGAUUAUUUAUUGGCAAGAAUUCCAGUCUCGGAUUAUUACUUUGCCAACACACAUCUAAAAAAAGUUCUUCAAAAUUUGGGCAUUUAGAGAAAAAGACUUGUUCGAGAUGUACAACAUGAGAUAUGUCUCGUGUGUGACGUAUCAUGGAUAGAGGACGGUGUAUUUUGUAACAGUGUGGUGAAAGACAGAGUAACGUGGCUGGAUCUCACACAUGGAAAGUCCUCACGUGUUGAUGGAUAGAGCACCUACCGUCUAUAUAUAUGGGCAUUAAAGUUAAGUUAUCACAAUCUCUGCCCGCUCACCAUCUCAAUAUCUGCUCACUCCCCACUCUUCGUCCAAUUACAUAUGCUCCAGCCACGACAUUAGCUCAUGACAAAUAGGUGACAAACACCUACAUGGAUCUUCCCGUGUAAAAGGAAAAAAAAACGCAUGUUACCUUGAGAAUAGAGGAUAUUGGGAAGGGUUCACUUACUGAUUAGGAAUGACAAGGCAUUGCAUGGUGUGAUGCCUCGGGGAAACAACAUGCUACUUUGCAAUCAUCAUCUGAGGGUCGCAUGAUCUGUUAGAAGUGCUUGACGAAGUUGCAACCUGUCCUCGACGAUCGUCUAUGUGGGAUUACGUUCCAGCGGCACCACAUUCAUAUCCUUCUCGAGCUCCCGGCGAUGACCUCGCUAUUGGCUGCCCCGUUCACACCUAUCAUGCCGGCUCACGUGCCAAUCACCAUCGCCCUCUAAGGGUGCCACCGUCAGUGAGUGUCUAAUCAUCAUGGAUUAGAGGUCAGGUUUUGCGUCACGAAAGAUAGAAGCAAGAGCUUUUGUGCGCUGUUAACAUAUGGAUUUCGUGCAUACUGAGUGAUUUGGCAUUGGAAGGUGAUGCAUGUUGGAUUCUGACCGUGUAAUUGUUGGAAGACGUCCAUGCCUGCAACCUGACCGAGUCUUGCGGGAGGAGAUGCGCCCGCGCACGUCGCCUUGCAUGCGCUCCUCCGGCGCACGUCGCGCCUGCAUGCGGCCGUGCCGUUAUGCACUCCUACCACCUCCGACGCUAGUGCCGUUGUAGUACUCUCUGUGUAUAUAUAUAUGUGUGUAACAGCUGAUGAUCAAUAUACGGUGAAGACCACCUUUCAUCUUGGUAAUCAGAGCCACGCCUUCCUCCUUUUUUUCUCGGCCAUGGCUUCUGACGCGCCCUCCGGCGAACACCCAGGCGACUCCCCUCCCCCCACAAACCCGGUGCUCUCCUCGCCUGAGCCCGCCUCCCCCGUCGCCGCGGUCCCCCCCAGCCACGGCCUCCUCCGCCAUGACCCUGCCGGCUACUCCCCUCCUUACCGAUGCCACGGCCUCCUCCUCCGCCACCACCGUCCCCUCCAUCCACUCUCUCCACAACAUCGGCAAUCUUAUUCCCUUUAAGCUGGAGGUCCAGUCCGGCAGCUACUCCAAGUGGCGCGAGCUCUGGCGCUGCGUCCUUACCAUGUACGCCGUGCAGCACCAUGUCACCAGCUACUCCGCUCCCGACCAGCAGACCCCCGCCUGGCGCCACACCGAUCUUACCCUCCUCCUACUGCUCUACACCACCAUCAUCGAUGCCCUAUACGAGGUCAUCCGCGGGGACGCCAACACCGCCUUCAUCGCCUGGAACAAGCUCCAGGAAUUCUUCCUCGCUCACCAGCCAGCGCAGGCGGUCCACCUCUCCGCCGAGUUCCGCGCUCUCUCUCAGGGCGACCUCCGCAUGGCCGAGUACUGCGCCCGCCUCAAGGCGCUGGCCGAUGCUCUGGCCGACGUUGAUGAGCCCGUCAAGGAUCGGACCCUGACGCUGCAGCGGCUCCGCGGGCUCUCCCGCCGUUAUCAGGUGAUCGCCACGGUUCUGCCCAUGCAGACCCCCUUCCCCUCCUUCAACGAGGCCCGCUCGCGCCUCCUCCGCGAGGAGAUCCAGCAGGACGCCCGCGGCCGCUCCGACGGCUCCACCACCCUCUCCAUCGGCAUCGGUGGCGGCGGCGGCCCGUCCACCGGCACCAGCUCCUCCUCGAGUGCUCCCCACUCCUCCAGUGACCGCGGUGACCGCGGCAAACAACCGGCCGAUCCCGCUCCUCGCGGCGGCGGCACCAACCGCGGACGCGGCCAGGCGCGCGGUCGCGGACGCGGCAACGGGCGUGGCGGCGGCUACACCGGUGGACGCGGCCAGCCGCAUCUGGCUCCCGGGGGCACACCCCCUGGAUGGGGUACUUUGCACCGUGGGGCGCCCCCUUCCCUCCCCAGGGCCAUGCACCCUGGGUACCUCCCAACGCCGCCGGGGUGCUCGGGCCCCGCCCUGGCAACCCCGCCCACACCUACCCCGUCAUCUACCCCGGCGCCCCCACGCCCGCCAACGCUCCACCGCCUUCUUCGUGGGACCAAGCCGGCCUCAUCGCCGCCAUGCAAAACAUGACGAUGCAGCAGCCUCACCAGCCCGGCGAGUGGUAUCUCGACUCCGGCGCCUCAUCCCAUGUCACCGGCAACCCAGGUAACCUCGACUCGUUCUGUUCUCCUCCUAAACACUCCUCUCGCAACAUCAUUGUCGGGGAUGGGUCUCAUCUUCCCGUUGUUGCCACCGGCUCUACCAAACUCACCUCUCGCCCGUUUUACCUCCGCAACAUCCUCUACUCUCCUCAUGUUGUCACCAAUCUUAUUUCUGCGUCGUUUUUGUAUUGACAAUUCUGUCACCAUUGAGUUUUACCCCUUUGGUUUUGUUGUGAAGGAUCUAGCAACUCGGACCCCGCUCAUGAGCUCCAGUAGCUACGGCCAGCUGUACUCGUUCUCCGGCGGCAACACCACCAACACUGACGCGUUCUCCGUUGGUGUCGGCACCCUCUGGCAUCGGCUGCUCGGCCACCCCAGCGCUGCCUCUCUUUCGCGUUUAGCAAAAGAUUUCUUACCAACUUGUAAUAAACAACUUCACCCGCGUGGUGCUUGUGAUGCUUGUCAAUUAGGCCGUCAGGCCCGUUUACCCUUUCCCGAAUCUACGUCCUUUACUACAUCUCCGUUUCAACUCAUACAUUGUGAUCUCUGGACUUCUCCCACUGUGAGUUUCUCUGGUUAUAAAUAUUACUUGCUUGUCCUGGAUGAUUUCACGCAUUUUUCGUGGAGCUUUCCCCUCCGCAACAAGUCUGACGCUGCUGCCACCCUCGAACGCUUCUACACAUACGCUCUCACCCAGAUCCACGUCGCCCUCCGGUGUGUGCAAUGUGACAACGGCGGUGAGUUCCUUAACGUUCGCCUCCGCACCUUCCUCUACGACCGCGGUGUCACCCUCCGUCUCUCCUGCCCCCACACCUCUCCACAGAACGGGAAAGCAGAACACGCUAUUCUCUCCACCAACGACAUCCUACGCACCCUUCUACUCCAAGCCCACAUGCCACCCCCCUUCUGGGUCGAAUCCCUUCACACCGCCACAUACUUACUCAACAUCCGGCUGUCCCGCGCCAUUUAUGAUCAAAUCCCCUACUAUCUUCUCUACGGCACCUCCCCCAACUAAUCCUCCCUCCGCGCCUUUGGGUGCUUGUGCUACCCAAAUCUCUACGCCACCAUGCCGCACAAACUCGCCCCUCGCUCGGUCCGCUACGUCCUUCUCGGCAUGCCCCUCGAACACAAGGGAUAUCGGUGCCUCGACCUUCAAACCCGACGCGUUAUCACCUCCCGCCACGUCGUCUUUGACGAAGAUCAGUUUCCCUACGCUGCCUUACCCGUCGGCCACACCACUGCACGUGAACUAACCCCCCCCCGGCCACAGAAAAUCCACACCGCUUCCACCUCGGCCCCACUUCACCACCACCUCCACUACCUGCGCACCUGCCACCUGCAUCCUUCCCGGAUCGCGCGCCUCCCUCUCGCGCGGCCUCUGCACCCCCCGGGCCCAGCCAGUCCGCUCCGGACCCUGCGCCUGCCGCCCCGGGAUCCGCGCCUGUCGCCUCGCCAGCACCCAGUCCCCCACCUCCGGGAUCCGCGCCUGUCGCGCCGCCGGGAUCUAGUCCCUCGCCCCCGGGUACCGCGCCAGAUAACAACAACCCACCCUCCCCCAUGCAUGCACGCGCCUCACCGUCGCCCGUUCGCACGCCGCCCCCGCAUGCAACCGUCCUCCCACCCCGCGCAGUACCUAUCGCCCCAUCGAAAAACCUUCAUCGCAUGCGCACACGCGCCAAGUCCGGCUUCCUCCAGCCCAAGAAACUCAUGACCGUUUCGACAGCCACCACCACCGUCUCUCCCAUCCCUGCCAGCUACAAACAUGCCCUCAAGGACCCCAACUUGUACAAUGCUAUGCUUGAGGAGUUUAACUCUUUGGUGGCAAACAAAAUGUGGUCUUUGGUUUCUUGUCCUGCAGGUGUCAACGUGGUGACCGGGAAAUGGAUUUUUCGCCACAAGCUUCACCCUGACGGAUCGCUGGCCCGGUACAAAGCUCGCUGGGUGCUACGCGGCUUCACUCAAUAGCCUGGCAUUGACUACGGGGAGACCUUCAACCCCGUCGUCAAGCCGGCGACCAUCCACGUCAUCCUUAGCCUCGCCGUCAGCAACAAGUGGGCUAUCAACCAGCUCGACGUCAAGAAUGCCUUCCUCCACGGCACUCUCGACGAGGUCGUCUACAGUCAGCAACCGGCCGGCUUCCUCGACGCUGCUCGCCCCUCCGUCGUGUGCCAGCUUCACAAGUCCCUGUAUGGGCUCAAACAGGCUCCGUGGGCGUGGUUCCAGCGCUUCACCACGUUUCUCCUCUCGCUCGGCUUCGUGGCAUCCAAGUGUGACUCCUCCCUGUUCAUCCUUCGCCGCGGUGCUGACAUGGCCUACCUUCUCCUGUAUGUAGAUGAUAUCAUCCUCACCGCUAGCUCCUCCACGCUGCUCGCCUCUAUCACCACCGCUCUCACGUCGGAGUUCUCCAUGACGAACCUUGGUGCCCUCCACCACUUCCUCGGCAUCAAUGUGCAACGCAGCGCCCACAGCUAGUUCCUCUCGCAGCAGCAAUACGCGCUCGAGAUCCUCGACCGCGCCUCCAUGCACAACUGCAAGCCUAUCUCCACUCCCGUUGACACAAAAGCCAAACUGUCUGCCACCGCCGGCGCCCCCGCCACUAAUCCCUCUCUGUUCCGCAGCCUUGCCGGUGCUUUGCAGUACCUCACGCUCACGCGCCCUGACAUUGCCUACGCCGUCCAGCAAGUCUGCCUCGUCAUGCACUCGCCACGCGCCCCGCAUGUCGCCCUGCUUAAGCGCAUCUUGCGCUACCUGCGCGGCACCACUCACCUCGGGCUUCAUCUCCGACCCGCCGCCUCGUCCCAGCUGGUCGCCUACACUGACGCCGAUUGGGCAGGCUGCCCUGACACUCGCCGGUCGACCUCUGGUUUCUGCAUGUACAUCGGUGACAACCUUGUGUCCUGGUCCUCGAAGCGGCAAACAACCGUGUCCCGGUCCAGCGCGGAGGCUGAAUACCGCGCGGUGGCCAAUGUGGUCCCCGAAUCGUGUUGGCUUCGGCAGCUCCUCCAGGAGAUCGGGCGGCCACCGGAGCGCGCCAUCGUCGUCUACUGCGACAAUGUAUCGGCCACCUACCUCUCCUCCAACCCGGUGCUCCAUCAGCGCACCAAACAUGUGGAGAUCACCUCCACUUCGUUCGCGACCGCGUCGCCUUUGGAGACGUCCGCGUUCUCCAUGUCCCCACUACGUCGCAGUUCGCCGACAUCUUCACCAAGGGGUUGCCCACGAGCGUCUUCAUCGAGUUCCGGUCCAGCCUCAACGUCGUCGACGACCCCGUUUCAACUGCGGGGGGCUGUUGGAAGACGUCCACGCCUGCAACCUGACCGAGUCUUGCGGGAGGAGAAGCGCCCCGUGCACGUCGCCCUGCAUGCGCUCCUCCUGCGCACGUCGCCCCUGCAUGCGGCCGUGCCGUUACGCACUCCUACCACCUCCGGCCCUAGUGCCGUUGUAGUUCUCUGUGUAUAUAUAUGUGUGUAACAGCUGAUGAUCAAUAUACGGUGAAGACCACCUUCCAUCUGUAAUUCCCUUGAACAAUUUAGUAAUAAUGAGAAAAAUCCAUAUUAUCUGGGCAAUAGUUCAGCUAUGUUUUCUAAGGUUUUUGGGUUUUUUUGCCUAGCACCAAAGAAACCUCACGAUUCUAGUACAUGUUAAUCCCCACCCACACAGAAUAUUUCUGAUUAUUUAUUGGCAAGAAUUCCAAUCUCGGAUUAUUACUUUGGCAAUACAGAUAUAAAAAAAGUCCUUCAAAGUUAAACCCCACCCACACAGAAUAUUUCUGAUUAUUUAUUGGCAAGAAUUCCAGUCUCGGAUUAUUACUUUGGCAAUACAGAUAUAAAAAAAAAUUCCUUCAAAGUUUUGGUAUUUAGAGAAAAAGUCCCCGUUUCGAGAUGUACAACAUGAGAUAUAUCUCGUGUGUGACGUAUCAUGGAUAGAGGACGGUGUAUUUUGUAACAACGUGGUGAAAGACAGAGUCACGUGGCUGGAUCUCACACAUGGAAAGUCCUCACGUGUUGAGCACCUACCGUCUAUAUAUAUGGGCAUUAAAGUUAAGUUAUCGAUAUCACAAUCUUUGCCCACUCGCCAUCUCAAUGUCUGCUCACUCCCCACUCUUCGUCCAAUUACACAUGCUCCAGCCACGGCAUUAUCUCAUGACAUAUA
rnacentral:lncRNA from 1 species